rnacentral:rRNA from 1 species
CGACGUGACUGUGAAUCAUCGAAUCUUUGAACGCACCUUGCACUUUGGGAGUCAAUCUCAAAGUAUACCUGUUUGAGUAUCAUAAACAUUUAUCCAAGCAAUUGGGAUUUGAGGCUUACUUUCUCUGAGAAGGUAUUCCUUUAAAUAUAGAACGGAGUUAGCUGCUGGACUGCACGCUACUCGAGUGAGGAUAUUUGCAUUCGUGCAAAGGAUUCAAUGAGAGGUUGUGCUGAGGACUGUAGUACUAAUGAUUCCGAAGUUGUGAAAAACAACAUUCUGUACAAAUGUGAUCUCAAAUCAGGCAAGACUACCCGCCGAACUUAAGCAUAUCAAUAAGCGGAGG